UACGAAGGGGGCUAGCGUUGUUCGGAAUUACUGGGCGUAAAGCGCGCGCAGGUGGUCUUUCAAGUCAGUGGUGAAAGCCCGGAGCUCAACUCCGGAACUGCCAUUGAAACUGUAAGACUUGAGGACGAGAGAGGUGAGUGGAAUUCCCAGUGUAGAGGUGAAAUUCGUAGAUAUUGGGAAGAACACCAGUGGCGAAGGCGGCUCACUGGCUCGUAUCUGACGCUCAGGCGCGACAGCGUGGGGAUCAAACAGG
rnacentral:rRNA from 1 species